rnacentral:rRNA from 1 species
UGGGGAAUAUUGCGCAAUGGGGGAACCCUGACGCAGCGACGCCGCGUGAGUGAAGAAGGCUUUCGGGUCGUAAAAGCUCUUAUCUGCGGGAAGAAGAGACGGUACCGCAGGAGAAAGCCCCGGCUAACUACGUGCCAGCAGCCGCGGUAAUACGUAGGGGGCAAGGCGUUGUCCGGAGUAACUGGGCGUAAAGGGCGCGUAGGCGGAAAUAAUAAGUCAGUUGUGAAAGAUAUGGGCUCAACUCAUAGAACGCAUCUGAAACUGUUAAAUCUGGAGUAUAGGAGAGGGAAACGGAAUUCCUGGUGUAGCGGUGAAAAUGCGUAGAGAUCAGGAAGAACAUCAGUGGCGAAGGCGGUUUCCUGGCCUAAAAACUGACGCUGAAAGCGCGAAAAGCAUGGGUAGCGAACAGGAUUAGAUACCCUGGUAGUCCAUGCCGUAAAACGAUGGAUACUAGGUGUGGGUAUCGCAAGAUAUCCGUGCCGCAGUUAAACGCAAAUAAGUAUCCCGCCUGGGGAGUACGGCCGCAAAGGUUGAAAACUCAAAAUGAAUUGACGGGGUCAUAGCUGUUUUCCU